rnacentral:snRNA from 1 species
GAGUGUUAAAGCAGUUUUAGAAUUUGCGUAGCAGGUGUUCCGGCCCGCACCGGAGAGCCCCU